GAAGCUGCCACAUCUGCUUGGAGAACAAAUAAGGAACUGCAACAUCACCCCGUUCAAGAGCAAAGCUGUGGAAAGUCAACAAGAUCAACUAUCUCCAAAACCAGAUUUGCGUUCUUAAACUCUACUCUGUCUGGUUUUUACUUUGCCAUAUUUGUCAUGUUUAUUUGUCGUUUAUUAUUUGCUUGUUUUUGGUGUUAGUAUAUGCUUGAAACAUUGAGGACAAUGUUUGAUUUAAGUGUGGGGGGGUAACCAUUGUUUUGCAUGAAAUUCGUAGAAAUUUAUCACCCAUUACUUCUAGUGUUGUUCCUUGUUGUUUUAAGUAUUUUUUUAAGCUGUUUUGGAGUGUUUCAGUGUGUUUUGACAUAAAAAAUCCGAAAAUUCAUAAAAAUUUGAAAAAUUGUUUUUGAAAAUCCAAAAAAAAAAAGAGUUGUUUUUGUGCGCUUAUUUGUGUCUUAGGGUACCUUCCAACACAAUGAUGAUGAUUCGGUUUGUAAUUGCAUGACUGUUAAAGAGAGUUAUAAACAUGGAUGAAAGUUUGAUUUACUCUUUAU
rnacentral:lncRNA from 1 species